rnacentral:misc_RNA from 1 species
GCAGCAUUAAUCGUGACUAAUGCAUUGAUGAUGACCACACCUUUAGACGCCUUGGCUCAAACAUGUGAAGCCGAUACUUCUGUUUCCAAUAUGCCAUUAUUACUUCUUGUUGCCCUUGUUGGGGCCACCGUGGGAGGUAAGGUACUUUUAAGUUUAGCACUGCCAUUGCUUUAUUGCAUAGUUCGGAGUAUUCAACUUUGAAAUGACAGAAAGUCAUUGUGGC